AGGGCUCAGGUGUGUCAUCGUGGAUAAUGGUUGUGUAAUCAUUUUGUUCCAACUGCCAGUGUUUGUGAAGAAUGACAAGAAUUGUCGUUCCAUGCUUACUUUGGCAAGAAACAGUGCCUUGGCCCCAGUUGUCUCAUUACACUUCGAAACCUCAAAAGGCUUCUAGACAGGUUUCCCUUCCUUUUUUUUUCUUCUUUCUUCUUUUCUUUUUUCUUAUAUUUUGGUUGUGAGCCUAGCCUUUAACGGCUGAGCCAUCUCUCCAGCCCUCUUUUUUCUUUUUCCUUUCCCUUUCUUUUUUCCUUCCUUCCUUUCUUCCUUCCUUCUUUCCUUCUUUUCUUCCUUCCUUCCCUGAUUCUUUCUCCUUUCUUAUUCAAUACCUACGUUUUAUUUUUAUUUGUUUUUUGGUUGGUUGGUUGGUUGUUUUGAGACAGUCCUUCCACUGGAGGUUUGCCUGGAACUCAGUGUCACCUAGGCUGUCCUCAAGCACAUGACUAUCUUCCUGCUUCACCUUUUUAAGUGUUUAAGUGCAGUGACUCCAGGAAUGAACCACCCUGCCCAGCUUUUAGGAGCUUUCAGUUUUGUACUUCCCUAAAGGCAUGCAAUAGUUACUUACUCUAUGAGCAAGCUCAUGCGUCAACAUGAGCAUCUUGGGACUGAGAUGUGUUGACUGAAUGAAAAACUUGGGAAGUGUAAAAUUUGGCUAGUAGCUUUUAGAUGCCAGCAUGCCUUGAAAUAAAACAUUUUGUGGUACUUGGGACCCAGCACGGGGACUCGUAAAUGCUAGACAGGAGCUAGACAGGAAAGCUGCAUGCCUCGCUUUAUAAACUUCUUGUUUCAGGUGAACUUAUGCAGCCCAGGCUGGCCUUAAACUCAGUGUGCAGCUACAGAUGACUCCUGAUCCACCCGUCACCGUGUCUCACAUGCUGGGCUUGCAGAUGUGGGCCACUACACCUAGCCUACCAUUUCAUUAAACAUUUUUAUUAAAUAUAGUGUGUAUGUAUGUGCGUGCAUGUGUCCCUCUGUGUGUACUUGCAAAGACCUGCGCCUCCAGGAGCUCAUUCUGCUAUUUAACAACGUAGGUCUUGAAGAUUGAACUUAGGUUGUCAGGCUUGACAGGAGGCACCUUUGCCCUUGAAGCAUCAGACCAGCAAACUUUCGCAUUAAAAAAAAAUGAUGUAGGGAAAUUUUAGGACCGCUGCUCGCUCUCGUCAACUUGGCUUGCUCAGUCCCUGCUUGCUCCGGCCCAAAGAUUUAUUUAUUAUUAUACAUAAGUACACUGUAGCUAACUUCAGAUGCACCAGAAGAAGACAUCAGAUCUCAUUACAGAUGGUUGUGAGCCACCAUGUGGUUGCUGGGAUUUGAACUCAGGACCUUUGGAAGAGCAGUCGGUGCUCUUAUCCGCUGAGCCAUCUCGCCAGCCCAUGUAUGAGUGUUUUGCCUGCACUGUGUGCGUGUGUGCUACAUGGAUGGCUGAUGCAGUCAGAGGACAAAAGAGGGCAUCAGAUCUCCUGGAACUGGAGGUACACAUAGUUGCAAUGUGGUUACUGGGACUUGAAUCUGGUUCCUCCCGAAGAACAAUUGAGGCUGUUUAUCCAAUCCCUGUUCUUUUUCUUUAAGAUUAUAAUUUACUUUUGUAUGCAUGCAUCUGUAUAUAUGUGUCUGUGUGAGUCCUAUAGAGGCCAGAAGCGGGUGUCAGAUCACUUGGAACUGAAGUUAUCCCAUGUGAAUACUGGGAUUCCCAACUCCGGUGCUUAUGAUUCAGCACCAAGUGCUCUUAACUACUGAGGCAUUUCUCUAGGCCCUGAUUUCAUUCAAAAUAUUUUUAAAUUACAUUUUACUUGGUAAAGGUGUAUAUCCAUAUAUGUGCGUGCACACAUGUGCUUGUGUGUGUGUGUGUGUGUGUGUGUGUGUGUGUUGGUAAAGGUGUAUAUCCAUAUAUGUGCGUGCACACAUGUGCUUGUGUGUGUGUAUGUGUGUUCAAUCAUGUAAGUGCUAGGACUUGAACUCAGGUCCUCUGGCUUGAUAACAAAUGCCUGUAUCUGAUGCUCUUCUCACUGGUCCCUGCAAUCUCAUGUUAGGAAAUAGUGUGAUAAUGGAUGUCUGUAAUCUCACCAAGGCAAAAGGAUUGCAAAUGGGAGGCCAGCUUGGACUAUGCAGCACGAUCUUGUCUUAAAAAAAAAAAAGGAAAAGAAAAGAAAAAUAAAAAUAUAAUUUCUGUGUUAUCUUCUGUGGCAUUAAGUCAUUAAUCCUUUUAAGGUCAGUUUUGCAAUGUAAUACAUUUGUGGCUAGUAUUUUUAUUUUGGGGCAUCCAAGUUUGUGUAAAAUGGUUUUCUUUCUCCAAUUUUGUUUUUUUAUUUUUAAAAAGGAUUUAUUUAUUUUAUGUAUGUGAGUACACUGUAGCUGUCUUCAGACACCAGAAGAAGGCAUCAGAUCUCACUACAGAUGGUUGUGAGCCACCAUGUGGUUGCUGGGAGUUGAACUCAGCACUUCUGGAAGAAUGAUCAGUGCUCUUAACCACUGAGCCAUUUCUCUAACCCUUGUUUUUGAUUUGUGACAUUGGGUCUAAUGUGGUGCAGGCUGGCCUCAAACUGACCGUGUAGCUGAAAAUGCCUUUGAACUGCUAAUCUUCCUGCCUCCAAACCCAAAUAGUGGGAUUAUAGUCAUGUGCUGCCACACCCCGCCUACAUUCUUGAAUAAUGUCUUAUCACAUAGUAAAUUUUACUGUACCAUAAAAGAGUAGGAUGUGGAAGGAUUGUGUGGGUAGAAAAAGGAAUAUGCAUGUUUAUGGUGCUGUAGUUAAAUUAAUCACAGGAUGACAGAGGCAAACUCUACAGGACACUUAGGGAAGUGAACAUGUCCUCUUUCUAUGAUUCUUUUACAAGUCAGGGGAUGUAUACAUCAAAAUGUUUCAGCAGAUUAUUGUAAAACUUUUAAAAUAACAAUUUUGAUUCUGCAGUUCGUACUAUCUCUGAAAUUGAAUAGUAAUUUAGUUGUAGAGGUGAAAUAGAGAUCUGGUGACAUUUUAAAGUUUUGUUUUUAUGUUUGUUUAUUUGUUUUGAGGCAGAAUUGCACGUAGCCCAAACCUUUGAAUUUGCUAAAUAGCCAAGGCUGGUUUUGAACUCCAGUUCUUCUUGCCUCUUACUUCCCAAGUGUUAGGAUUCCAAGCCCAGCUCAGAUCUUGUGCCAUCUAAUUCUACUGCUAUCACUUCUAGGUAAUGCAGUAAUGACAGCAAAGAGGAAGAAGGAGGAGGGAAGAACAACAACUGGAUAUAUACUAUAUCUGCACCAUGCCAGAGUCACUUUUAUUUUUAUGUACUUGAGGACUCCCUGCAGUUUAGGCUAGACUUGAACUUAUUCUAUAGCUGAUGGUGAUCUCCCAUUCAGAUCCUCCUGACUUUAUUGCCUGCAUGCAGACUUUAUAGGUGUGUACUGCUAUUCCUGGUUCAUUGCGUGGGACAUCAAAGUCGGGACUUUGUGCAUUCUUAGCAAACUUUCUAUCACCUGUGCUGUAUCUCCAGCCCAUAUAUUAACUUUUUUCUUGCUCUCUUUUUUACCUUUACUUAAUUUUUUUUAUGUUUAUGGGUAUAUGGCCUGCAUGUAUGUGGUGUCCAAGGAGACAAGAAGAGGACAACAAAUCUUCUAGAACUGGAGUUAUGCUUGUGAGCCACCAUAUGGGUAUUGGAAGAGCAUCAGUGUUCUUAACUGUUGAGCUAUCUCUCCAGUCCCCAUCCCCUUAUUAUUUUGAUACUUGGAAUCUAAAUCAGGACCCAAGCAAAUGUUUUCCUACUGUGUUAUACCCGUAGCCUCCACAGACAAAAUCUGGAAUUGAGACAAGAUGCCUAGAAGUAAAUGAUUUCUCUGUUAUUUUGGGACAGAAUCUUGUUUAGCUCAGUAGAGCCUCAGAUACAAAAUGACCUUGAACUCCUAAUCCUUCUUCCUCCACUUCCCAAAUUCUGGGAUUAUAGACACAAGCCACCAUGUCUGACUGGUUCACUUUUGGUUUUUAUUUAUUGACACAAAGUCUCAGUCUCAGGCUGGCCUAGAACUCAAUAUGUAACCCAGCCUGGACUCAAAUUCACAAGAGUCCUGCUCUAGCCUCCCAGUGCUGGGAUUAUGAAUAUGAUUCUCCAUAUCUAGCUUUAGGUUAUUGUUGAUAUUAUUAUUAUUAUUAUUAUUAUUAUUAUUAUUAUUAUUUGUUUGCUUGUUUUCAAGACAGGGUUUCUCUAACAUGCCUUGCUGUUCUGGACUCACUUUGUAGACCAGGCUAGCCUUGAAUUUACAGAGAUCCACCUGCCUCUGCUAUGAUCAAAGGCAUGUGCCACCAUGCCUGGCCUUUAAAAGGUUAUUUUGGCUUUUAGGUUAUUUUUAUUCAGACUGUUUCGGUCUUUUUAAAAAUUAAAAAAAAAAUUUAAAGACAAGGUAUCUUACUGUAUAACUAACCUUAGGUUGGCAUAAAGUUGUCAUAUUCACUAUGUCGGGAUUACAGACAUGUACCACCAUGACCAGCUAUUUGGUCUUUUCACACAGAUGGGAAAUUCAUGAGGCCCAGAAAAAAAAUGAAAA
rnacentral:lncRNA from 1 species